AUUGAACGCUGGCGGCAGGCCUAACACAUGCAAGUCGAACGAGUGGCGGACGGGUGAGUAAUGUCUGGGAAACUGCCCGCUGGAGGGGGAUAACUACUGGAAACGGUAGCUAAUACCGCAUACCAUCGGAUGUGCCCAGAUGGGAUUAGCUAGUAGGUGGGGGAACGGCGCACAUAGGCGACGAUCCCUCGCUGGUCUGAGAGGAUGACCAGCCAAACUGGAACUGGGACACGGUCCAGACGCCGACGGGAGGCAGCAGGGGGGAAUAUGGCGAAAUGGGCGCAAGCCUGAUGCAGCAAGGCCGCGGGUAUGAAGAAGGCCUUCGGGUUGUAAAGGACGUUCAGCGAGGAGGCGUUACGCGCAGAAGAAGCACCGGCUAACUCCGUGCCAGCAGCCGCGGUAAUAC
rnacentral:rRNA from 1 species